UUUCUUCCAGCUCGUUGUGUUUCCCUCCUCAUCGUUGUGUUUUCCUCCCAGAGUCGUUUGUGUUUCCUCCUCAGAGUCGUUUGUGUUUCUUCUUCCUCAGUCUUUGUGUUCCUCCAGUCGUUUGUGCUUUUUUCCCUCAGUCGUUGUGUUUCCUCCUCAGCGUUGUUGUUCUUCCCAGUCGUUGUGUUUUCCUCUCAUCGUUGUGUUGUCCAUCCUCAGAUCGUUUGGUGGUUUCCUUCCCUCAGUCGUUUGUGUUUCCUCCUCAGAGUCGUUUUGUGUUUCCUCCUCAGUCGUUUGUUUCUUCCUCAAGAGUCGUUUGUGUUUCCUCUUCAGUCGUUUGUGUUUCCUCCUCAGUCGUUUGUGUUUCCUCUUCAGUCGUUUGUGUUUCCUCCUCAGUCGUUUGUGUUGCCUCCUCAGUCGUUUUGUUGCUCCCAGUCGUGUUGUGUUCUCCUCAGUCGUUUGUGUU
rnacentral:lncRNA from 1 species